GUCGUCUUCUGGUGUAGUCGGAUCUCCGUAUUGCAGCUCCCGGUGAGCCUCUGGACGAAAACAGAACGACCACGGCAAGCUGCAGACUGUCUCGAUUGCCUGGGGGAAGUGAGUCUUUGUGGGUUUUGACUGGCAGCCUGAGGAAUCCCAUGAUGACAGACAGCAAGCCAGCUCACUGUGAAGGGCCGGAGCGUCUGAGGACACAAAAUGGCUGGACCAGGAUACAUGUCUGACAUGGGUGUUGUGAAGCCAAAUAAAUCCCCAUUAGCUGAACGACUUGAUCCACCGCUGGUGCCAGACUUGGAGACCAUCCAAGCCACAGGACAAGGAUCAACUCUCUAUGAGCAUAAACCUAACACCCACACACUUUACUACUAGUUACUGCACAUGAAUCAACAGUUAAUAAGCUCAUGACACAUGUCUAAGGAGCUAGAGGGCUCAGGAUAUGCUGAUUCUGAGGUUAAGCCUGAAUACAAAACCGGACAUAACUAGUAGCUGACAUUGAACUUUGCACAUGCAUGCUUGGGUUUCAUGGUGUGGCCCUAAUUGUUGAGUAGUCUGUACUCUUUAACCACACAAUGGGUACAAAAUGUAUUAGAGUCUGAUGUGGAUGGGGCUGGAAUAUUUAGGGAAUGUUUGUUGUGAAAAUACUUGUCAUGGAGGCAAGGCAGUGCUGGCAGGAGAUUUAGAAAGCUGACAAGCAGUGUACAACAGACUAGCUCUAGCACUGUGCUGACUGUUAGAUUAAUGCAGGGGAUGAAUGGAGGGCUUGUGAGAGUGCAAAAAACCUGAUACACAUUUGAUAAACAGAAGAGCUUGUUCAUACAUUUUGUAAAUUGUGAGAGGGGUGAGCGCAAUAAACUUUGGUUUCAUCUUACAUCCUUUUGGUUAUUGCUAUAAUCUGUUUGGCAAUGGCUCAUUAUCUGUUUAAGCACUGCUGGGCGCAUUGCUGUUUCCUGUUUUCAUCU